GAUGAACGCUGGCGGCGUGCCUAAUACAUGCAAGUCGAGCGAAUGGAUUAAGAGCUUGCUCUUAUGAAGUUAGCGGCGGACGGAUGAGUAACACGUGGGUAACCUGCCCAUAAGACUGGGAUAACUCCGGGAAACCGGGGCUAAUACCGGAUAACAUUUUGAACCGCAUGGUUCGAAAUUGAAAGGCGGCUUCGGCUGUCACUUAUGGAUGGACCCGCGUCGCAUUAGCUAGUUGGUGAGGUAACGGCUCACCAAGGCAACGAUGCGUAGCCGACCUGAGAGGGUGAUCGGCCACACUGGGACUGAGACACGGCCCAGACUCCUACGGGAGGCAGCAGUAGGGAAUCUUCCGCAAUGGACGAAAGUCUGACGGAGCAACGCCGCGUGAGUGAUGAAGGCUUUCGGGUUGUAAAACUCUGUUGUUAGGGAAGAACAAGUGCUAGUUGAAUAAGCUGGCACCUUGACGGUACCUAACCAGAAAGCCACGGCUAACUACGUGCCAGCCGCCGCUGUAA
rnacentral:rRNA from 1 species